UGCUGAGGAGUCCCAUAAUAGGACGAAACGGCUGUCCA
rnacentral:hammerhead_ribozyme from 1 species